AGCACGAUGAGUGCUAGUGUUGGAGGGUUUCCGCCCUUCAGUGCUGCAGCAAACGCAUUAAGCACUCCGCCUGGGGAGUACGACCGCAAGGUUGAAACUCAAAGGAAUUGACGGGGGCCCGCACAAGCGGUGGAGCAUGUGGUUUAAUUCGAAGCAACGCGAAGAACCUUACCAGGUCUUGACAUCCUUUGACCACUCUAGAGAUAGAGCUUUCCCUUCGGGGACAAAGUGACAGGUGGUGCAUGGUUGUCGUCAGCUCGUGUCGUGAGAUGUUGGGUUAAGUCCCGCAACGAGCGCAACCCUUAUUGUUAGUUGCCAUCAUUUAGUUGGGCACUCUAGCGAGACUGCCGGUGACAAACCGGAGGAAGGUGGGGAUGACGUCAAAUCAUCAUGCCCCUUAUGACCUGGGCUACACACGUGCUACAAUGGGAAGUACAACGAGUCGCUAGACCGCGAGGUCAUGCAAAUCUCUUAAAGCUUCUCUCAGUUCGGAUUGCAGGCUGCAACUCGCCUGCAUGAAGCCGGAAUCGCUAGUAAUCGCGGAUCAGCACGCCGCGGUGAAUACGUUCCCGGGCCUUGUACACACCGCCCGUCACACCACGAGAGUUUGUAACACCCGAAGUCGGUGAGGUAACCUUUUUGGAGCCAGCCGCCUAAGGUGGGAUAGAUGAUUGGGGUGAAGUCGUAAGGGGAAACCCCCCAAAAAAGGGGAGACCCGGCGGGUGGUGGGGGGCCCCGCCGGGCGGUUUCAGCGUCCCAAACGGCGGGGCCCCCCCCCGGGGGUGCGUCCCCCCCUCCCCCGUGCCUUUUUCCCCCGUCCCACCGGGGAAAAUCCCCCCUGCCUCGCUUUGCGCCCCGACGGGCCUCCCCUGUUUGAAAGGGGCCCCGCCCCCCCGACGAGAGCGCGGGGGGAUUUACAGCUUCAAAAAUAAAAAAAAAAACCGCGGGGGCGCUCCGGCUUUUCGCCCCCACAAAAACUGCGCGGGAAAACUGGUGGGUGCCCCCCUUCCUUAGCCUUCCCCGGGCGGGGGGGGGGCGCGCCAGGCGAGUCCCCCGGCGGUCGUUUUUUCGCGGGUAGUAAAAACCCCGUGGGGGGGGGGACUGU
rnacentral:rRNA from 1 species